rnacentral:ribozyme from 1 species
UGCCCAGCAACUCCUAUCCCUACCUCCUCGCGGUACCGGCCGGAAACUAUGAGCAACCUUAGGGAAGAUCGGGUAACCAACCCCGGUGGGAACUUUGGUCGUAGGCUCACAGGGAAGG